rnacentral:rRNA from 1 species
GGCGAGUGAAGCGGCAACAGCUCAGAUUUGGAAUCUGGCCCCCAGGGCCCGAGUUGUAAUCUGGAGAGGAUGCUUCUGGCGCGGCGCCUUCCGAGUUCCCUGGAACGGGACACCGGAGAGGGUGAGAGCCCCGUACGGUUGGACGCCUAGCCUUUGUGAAGCUCCUUCGACGAGUCGAGUAGUUUGGGAAUGCUGCUCAAAAUGGGAGGUAAAUUUCUUCUAAAGCUAAAUACCGGCCAGAGACCGAUAGCGCACAAGUAGAGUGAUCGAAAGAUGAAAAGCACUUUGAAAAGAGGGUCAAACAGUACGUGAAAUUGUUGAAAGGGAAGCGCCCGUGGCCAGACUUGUGCCCCGCGGACCACCCGGCGCCCUCAGCGCCGGUGCACUCCGCGAGGCGCAGGCCAGCAUCGGUUUUCCUAGGGGGAUAAAGGCGGCGGGAACGUGGCUCCCUCGGGAGUGUUAUAGCCCGCCGCGCCCAUGCCCCUGGGGGGACCGAGGACCGCGCUUCGGCAAGGAUGCUGGCGUAAUGGCCAC